UCUACCCUUAGGAUGGGGACAACAGUUGGAAACGACUGCUAAUACCCAAUGUGCCGAGAGGUGAAACUUAUAUGGCCUGAGGAAGAGCUCGCGUCUGAUUAGCUAGUUGGUAGGGUAAGAGCCUACCAAGGCGACGAUCAGUAGCUGGUCUGAGAGGAUGAUCAGCCACACUGGGACUGAGACACGGCCCAGACUCCUACGGGAGGCAGCAGUGGGGAAUUUUCCGCAAUGGGCGAAAGCCUGACGGAGCAAGACCGCGUGAGGGAGGAAGGCCUACUGGUUGUAAACCUCUUUUGAUAGGGAAGAACACAAUGACGGUACCUAUCGAAUCAGCCUCGGCUAACUCCGUGCCAGCAGCCGCGGUAAUACGGAGGAGGCAAGCGUUAUCCGGAAUUAUUGGGCGUAAAGCGUCCGUAGGUGGUUUGUCAAGUCAGUUGUUAAAGCGUGGAGCUUAACUCCAUAAGGGCAAUUGAAACUGGCAGGCUAGAGUGCGAUAGGGGCAAGGGGAAUUCCCAGUGUAGCGGUGAAAUGCGUAGAUAUUGGGAAGAACAUCGGUGGCGAAAGCGCCUUGCUGGGUCUGCACUGACACUGAGGGACGAAAGCUAGGGGAGCGAAAGGGAUUAGAUACCCCUGUAGUCCUAGCCGUAAACGGUGGAUACUAGGCGUUGACCGUAUCGACCCGGUCAGUGCCGUAGCUAACGCGUUAAGUAUCCCGCCUGGGGGAGUACGCUCGCAAGAGUGAAACUCAAAGGAAUUGAC
rnacentral:rRNA from 1 species